rnacentral:tRNA from 1 species
GGCCUUGUAGCUCAGAUGGUGAGAGCAUUUGCUGUAGUAAAGCCUCCCCUUUAUUGGCGGGGGUUCGAAUCCCACCGAGGACG